UUUUUUCUUUUUCUGUUGAAUUUCUCAGCUGGUACUGAGGGUCAAACACUGACUGAGUCUGAAUCAGUGGUUAAAAGGCCUGGAGACUCCCACAGACUGACCUGUACAUACUCAGGGUUCAGCAGUGAUAUUGAUGCAGCUUGGAUCAGACAGGCUGCUGGGAAAGGACUGGAGUGGGUUGCUUAUAUUGAGGAUGAUAGUAGCAACAUCUACUAUUCUCAGUCAGUCAGAGGCCGCUUUACCAUCUCCAGAGACAACAGCAGAAAGCAGGUGUAUCUGCAGAUGAGCAGCUUGACGACUGAAGAUUCAGCUGUUUAUUAUUGUGCUCGA